CACGUAGGCGGGUUCUUAAGUCAGGGGUGAAAUCCUGGAGCUCAACUCCAGAACUGCCUUUGAUACUGAGGAUCUCGAGUUCGGGAGAGGUGAGUGGAACUGCGAGUGUAGAGGUGAAAUUCGUAGAUAUUCGCAAGAACACCAGUGGCGAAGGCGGCGUUCUGGACUGCAACUGACACUGAAGAACGAAAGCCAGGGGAGCAAACG
rnacentral:rRNA from 1 species